GGUUAAGUAAAAAUAUUCCCGAAAAAAGUUAAUUUAAAAUUAAGUCCGUCCACAAUCAAAAUUUUUGUGUUUUAUAUAAAAAAUGAUUUAGAGAAAAUUUGGAAAAAUAUUAUAUUAUAAACAUAUAAGCAAUUGUUUGAACAGCCUUGAAGAAAAAAAUCAACAAAACUAAUUCUAUUACUAAAAUCCCCAAAAUAUCAUCAUCAUCAUCAUCACCAAAACCAACGUGUUUUAUUAUUGUUAUUAUUAUUACAAAAAAGAAAAGGACGAAAUAAAAUAUUAAGGAUAUAAAACAUAUUAUAUAUAAACUAUUAGUUACGGCUUUAACAUUAUAUACAACUAAUAAACUCUUACUUUUUAAGGCUCUUUAUAUCUUUCUCUGACUCUCUCUUUCUUUUUAAAAAGCCUCUAACACAAGCUCUCCCUCUCUCUCUCUCUCUUAAGCUUUCAAUGUUUAAGCAAUAAAUAAUUAGUUAUUUGUUCUAAUAUUUUUAAAAUAAAUAUAAACAAACUAAACAACAACAACCAAUAUAGAUUAAACAAUUAAAAUAUAAAUUAAUACAAAAAAAAAAAAAAAAACUACGUCAACGGUUACGUCGACUACGUCAUUAAUAACGUUAUACACUCGAGUAUGCCGUAGAACAAUAGCAAGAAGGCCAGGAGAGCAAUAUCUACAGUAAACGUCUAAGAACAAAUAGAAAAAAGCAUACAAAAAUAACAAAAACAAUAAACAAUUUAUUUUGAGCACAUACUUAUGGCAUAAUACUCAGGUUAUAAUAACAACAACAACACAAAGAGCGAAAAAGUGAAAAAAUUUCAAAAUAUUUAAAAUAAACUUAAAAAUAUUUUAAAAUAAUUUAACAUUAAGGUUUUUUUUUAAGAAACAGAAAAACUAAUUAAAAAACUAUUCCCUUUGGGCUCGUAAAACAUUUUUAGAGCGAAGUCAAAACCAGCUAAACCCAGCACUUUUACAACUAUUAAGAGUCAUCUCAAACUAUCACAGUUCGUUAAAACUGACUGACAAGGAUGUGUGUGUGUUAUUAAGCACUAAAGGAAUGACAUGUUUCUGAAGACAACUCUACUCUACUGCCAAAUGCAUAAACGCACAAAACAACAAAAUAUUCAUUAUAUUUUUUUGGCGGCUGACGUUAUACCAGUUGUUGCUUAACUUAUACAUAUAUGUAUAAAACAAAAUAAUUUCAAUUAAGCGAAAAUAUGAAUAUUUAAUGUUUUAAAAAAAGGGUUAAUUAAGCUUAAAAUAAGGAUAAAGGCCAAUCCUCAGCAGCAACAACAACCAACCAAUUAAGCAAAACGUUAAAAAUGCCUUGAACAUUAAAAGGGUUUUGGAAAAAUUGUUUUAAUGAAAAACGGCUCAAAUUAAAAUAUUAACAUAUUAAUUGUCAUAUAAAAGGUUUAUUACUGGUUUAUUACCGCGACAUUGAGUCAAAGUAAAUGAAGGUGAAACAAAACUAACAAAACAACAUAAAAAACGCUUAUGUUAGAGAGAAACUUUAAAAUAACACUCCAGCACUGAGAGAAACAGCACUUUCCAAAAGGGAGCUACUUUGAAAUAACACUCCAGCAUUGUGAGGAAGAACAGCCCAGAAAGAGAGCAAAUUUAAAACAAUAUUUUAUUAUUGAGAAAAAGAACUCUUUAAAAACAGGGUAUCUUUAAAACAACACUGAGAGAAAGAACACUUUUGGGAGAAAGAAAUCUUAAAAAUUGCUCACUAGCUUCGAGUGGAAAGUUUACUAAGAAAAAGAGCGGUAGUAAGAGAAUCUUUAUAAGAACACUCUAGCACUGAGAGAAAAAACUUCAACUUAAUAACACCUAAGAAAGAGAGAAACUUUAAAACAACAUUCCAGCAUUGAGAAAAAACUCUUUAAAAGGAAGAUAUCUUUAAAAUAACACUCCAGUACUGAGAGAAAGGAUACUCUUGGGAGAAAAAACCUUAAAAAUAACUUUGAGUGGAAAGUUUUCUUAGAAAAAGAGCAGUAGUGAAAAAAAAGCAUUGAGAGAAAAAACAUUUUAGCUAUAGAUAAACUUAAUAACAACUAAGAAAGAGAGCAACUUUAAAACAACACUCCAGCAUUGAGAAAAAGUACUCAUUAAAGGGGACAUCUUUAAAACAACACUCCAGCUUUAAGAGAAACAACAAUUUCGGGAGAAAGGAGAUACUAAAAAAAUACAUCAACUUCAAGAGGUAAUAAAACGGAGAAUGAAAUUAUAAAAUAACACUCCAGCAUUGUGAAAAUAACAACUUUAAAACAACACUCCAGCAAUUGAGAGAAAAGGAAACUUUAGCAUUAAAGGAUCUUAAAAAUAGUUCUCUAUCUUCGAAAGGAAAGUUUGUUAAGAAAAAGAACAACAUUAAAACGACUCUUCAGCAUUGAGAGAAAGAACACUCUUGGUAUAAAGGAUCUUAAAAAUAGCUCUCAAGCAUUGAGAGAAAAAACAUUUUAGAUAGAGAUAAACUUUAUAAUAAAGGAGAUACUUUUAAAUUAUACUCCAGCUUCGAGAGAAAAUAAAACACUCCGGAGAAUGAAAAUAUAAAACAACACCCCAGCAUUGGGAGAAACAGAACACUUUCGGGAGAAAGGAAAAUAACUCCCCAGAAAAAUCAAAAUCACUUCAGAAUGAGAUUUACUCUACAAAAACACUCCAGCAUUGAAAGAGAACAACUUUAAAAACACUCCAGCUGUAAGAGAAAAUAAUUUCUCAACAUUGAACAGAAGAUCUCAAACACAAAUAUAAAUUUUGAGAAAAAGCUUUAUCAAAAGCUAGAGGAAGCGUUAACAGCUAAGAAUUCACUGGAUUCUUGAUAGAAAAAAGAGCUGAGAAAAACCUAAACUUAUAACUCUAAAAAUAAGCAAGAAAUUUUUUUGAAACUCUAUUUCUCAAAGUUACUUUACAGUAAUUUAUAACUCAAAAACUCACAAGAACAGUAACUAAUAUAACCUCAAUUAAGAAGUAUUGAGAGAGAAACUUGCAGGAAACUAACUUCAGCGAAAACUAAACUCAAAAGUUUUAAUUAAUUUCGAUAAAAAAAAAACACUCUCAAAAGUAUUGAGAGAGAGGAAUUUUCUAAAUAACACUUUAUAACUGAUAAAUAUAAGGAAAUGAUCUUAAAUUUAGAGAGAUAAUAAAUACAGCUUAACUAACCUCAAAAUAUGAGAACUGUGUUUAAAACGAAUUAAAGCUCAUUUAAACGCCAAAGCACUGAGAGAGUAAUCUGCUCAAGAGUGUCUUAGCAAAGAAAUUAAAAGUGUUAUUUGAGAUAAGCUCAACAUUAGAGGAAACAAAAACUUAUCUAACCUCAAUUUUGAAGAACAUUUUUUUAAGAAUUUUAUAUAAAACCAAUAUUGAGAGAGAAAUUUACCGAAACGCGCAAAACAGCUGAACUAAAUAUGUUAUAGAAAAAACAAAUAUAAAAUCUUGAAAAAAACACAAAUUUGUCCUGAAGAUCAAAACAGAUCAAUAAAUAUAAACUAAAAACAUGAUCACUUUAAACUCAUGAUAUUAAAAAGUUAAACGCGCUAUAAACUAAACGAGAAAAACUAUUAAAGAGUGUUAUUAAAACUUAACUAAUAAAAACAACUUAAAUGAAAAGUUUAACGUGUCAUAAACGAGUUAAAAUAAAACGAUCAUUAAGAUUUAACUAAUAAAACUUUUAAAUAAACCGAAAAUGAUCAAUUUAAAUGUUGAUCACAUGAACUGAUCAGUUUAAAGAGAAAAAUCAAGAGAAGUUAAACUUAAAUGAAAUGUUAAAGGAAUGAAAAAUUAUUAAAAUAUAGUUUGAGAAACUGAUCGUUCGAAAUGACAUGAUCGGUUUAAAAAUAAGUGAUCAGUUUUAAUAAGUGAAAUAUUAUAAAAUUAAACAUUUAAAGUACGGUUAAAAGCUCAAGAAACCUCAAAAAAACUAUUAGAAAAAAAAUUAUUGAUCGUAGAGUUGAUCAAUAAAAAAAGACAAUUAAAAAGAUCAACUUAAUUAGAAACAUUCAGAAAAGUUAAACUUAUGGUUAACGGCUUAGGAAAGCUUAGGCGAUUAAAAGUUAAACGCACUUUAAACUGCAAACGAAAAACCGCAAGUGAUAUAAAGUAGAAAAAAGAAGAAUUAUUUAAAAUAAUUACUAGUUUUGAAGAUAAAAACACCCUGUGAUAACAAAAAAAAAAAAAUUAUUAAAAGCACUAAAAAAUCAUAUUUAUAAAAAAAACAUAAAACUACACACUAACUACGCUAAUAAAUAAAUAAAAUAAAUUUUUAAAAUUAAAAAAUAAAUAAUCUCUUUAACUUCUAUUCUCAUAAUUAAACCAGCUCGCUAAUAAUAACAACAACAACAAAAAAACGAAAACCCACACGCUUUAAAUUAGUAAUAAUAUUAAUUAAAAUUUAAUUAAUAAACUUAAGUUAAAUAUAUAAAGAAAUACUCCAAAUAAAAUUAAAAAAAAUAAAAUAAUAAUUCUCAAACAAAAAAAUGGGUGAUGAAAUCGAUGAACGUACUCUCAGAGAGAAAUUACUCUUUUAUACAACUGCCUUUUUCAUAUUGCUUGGUACAUUUAGCCUGUUUGCAUUUUUAUUUUUGGUACCAUUCGUCAUAGAGCCAGCUUUUACUACCAUUUUUAUGGAAUUUGAAGAGGUGCCCGCUCUGUGCGAAACCUUUUCCAAUGUACGACGUUUUGGUGCGCGCAACUGCAGUUGGGCAUCAUGUCGUGAGGGCUGUACUAAGGAAAUCUAUGAUUGUACUCAGAUUCUGGUGAACUAUCGCCUCAAUAUGUACAACUAUACGGAUGAGUUUAAUGUCACCGAGUAUCAUAUAAAUCUCAAGGAGUCCGAAAAGUAUGUGCCACCUGUAAAGCGUACCGAUCGUUAUACGCGUGCCAUACGUGAUGAUUAUGAAUACGAUUUGGGUGGCAGUGAUCCCAUGAUCAGUUCUUUAGAGGGUGGUGGAAAUGCUGUAGGUGGUGUGGGGGGUGGCGGCGGUGGCAUGGUUAUGGAACAUUUAACCUUUGGUGAUGAAGACGGUUCGAAUGGUUAUCUUAUAGAAGAUUCUGCUAUAGAUCCCGAUAAUACAUUCAUCAAUGCCGAUGGCAAUGAUGUCUUCGAGGAAAUAUCGGAAUUGAAUAGAGGCCUUAUAAACAAUAGCGGCAUGUAUUUUUUCGUUGGUGCCCAUCUGUAUCCUAAUGUCAAGGGUUGUGGUUAUCCGCCCAUGUUAAAUUGCACCAUAUGGCUGAAGCGCUAUACGACAAUUGGUGUUAAAUUUCCCUGCUACUACUCAAAAGUGGAUCCUAGUGUGGUCAUUAGUCAUUUGGACUAUUGGCAGAAUACCCUAAAUUUGGUGUAUUCCAUGGCCAUUCCCAUACCCUCGUUCAUUAUAUCUGUGAUCUAUUUGACCUAUGCCUACUUUAAAAUCUACAAUGAGGACGAGGAAACGGCUCCGUUGGAUAAGAAUGCCGAAGAUAUGGAUAUCGAUGACGAGGGUGUGGACGAUAGUGAUGGUGCUGCGCUGGCUGAUAAUGCCGCCGGCAGUCAAAUUAUCAAUAUACACGACUCGACGACUGGCGAGAGUUGCAUAGUUGAUGGCGUUCUACCAAAUGGUGGUCCCGGCAUGACCACCUCCAUAUCACAACAUGGUUCGGUAACAACACCGGGCCAGUAUCGUGUUCAAACACCUGGUUCCCAGUUGACUCCGAAUUCGGAGAUUAACUCCUUUGGCCAUCAGCUAAAAGUCCAGAUGGCCGAUGAACUAUCCAGGGAUUCAUUGGAUAAUGGUGUUAUAUCAACUUCCAAUUCGGUGCAAGGAAUCUGCUGACAUGCCUAUCAAUAUUGCUGCUCUAUAUAUGCUGAACUACUGCCAAAUCAUCGUACCAUAAAGGAUAUGUCCAAGUAGCCGACAAAGGAAAGACUAAUAUUUGUACUCGUAAGCAAAAAUGAAAACCCCUGCUUGUUAACCUGUGAUACUACUACGUCUAAAACGCACAUAUAACUGGAUUUACUACUACUAUCACUACUUCUACUACUACUACUACUUAUUGAGGAAACCUAAGUAAAACCAUGACGACGAGUAUUUCAACUCCACCUGGGCCGGUGGCGGCUGUAUAAAAUAGAAUUCCCUCUAAGAACUGGAGUAAACAUAAUUUAGCGAAUACAACAACAACAACAACAAAACGUUUUUGGAACAAAAUCCCUAAAUGGAUUAAAAAGUUAAAAAAGAAAUUUUUAUUUACUAAAAAAAUAAAAUACUCUACUUUAGAUAAUUAGUGCAAUAAACUGCAAUAAUCUUAUAAAAUAAAUUUAAAAAAAAAAAUCUUAAAAAAAAACAACAAAAUGCAAUGCAAUUUAAUAAUAAACAUAAAGAAAAUUACAUUCAAUUAGUAUAAUUAAUGAAAAAAAUAUAUAAACUAUUUAUGCAUUCAUAAUUUUUUUUUUUUUUGUAAAAAAAUACAUCAUAUAACGAUAUUAAAAAUGAAAUGAAAUCAUUGUUAUAAUGAUAUAACCUAAAUACCUUCAAUUAAAUCGCCUAAAUAGACUCGAAAUCGUUUUAAUUUAAGAGCAAUUUCAUAAAAUCUACCUAAACCUCAUUUUCAUAAAGUGUUAUAAACGGCUCUGAGUCGUUUAAGCUUAACUACAGGUCGCUAUUUUUAAAAGAAUUCUAUAAAACUGUAUUUUCUUUAAAAUCGGCUCAUUUUUCCUUAUAACCCCCAUACAUAUAGAGCAAUAGUAACCAAAGUUGACACAAGUUAUUUUAAACAUCUAUGAAGUUAGGGGCAACAUUAGACCCUAGCCCCCAAGGUUCCCCUCUAGAAAAUUACCUUUUUUUAGAUUUAACGUAUAAAUAAUUCAAUAAAUCGCCUAAAUAGACUUGAAAUCGUCUGAAUUUAAGAGCAAUUUCAUAAACUUUCCUCAACUCAUUUUCAUAAAGAGUUGUAAUCGGCUAAUAAACACUUUCUGAGUCGAUUAAGCUUAACUACAGAUCGCUAGUUUUAAAAGAAUUCUAUAUGUUUUAAAGCGAACCCUAUUUCCUUUGCAAUGGGUCCCUUUUUCCCUAUAGUCCCCCAUACAUAUACACCGGUAACAACUGAAUUAGAUACAUCUAUAAAGUUAGGAAUAACCCUAGCCCCCAUACAAGGUGCCCCUUUAGAAAAUUACCUUUUUUAAAAUUUAACUAAUAAAUAUCUUCAAUAAAUCGCCUAAAUAGUUUCGAAAUCGACUUAAUUUAAGAGCAAUUUCAUAAACUCUUCCUAAAACUAAUUUUCAUAAAGGGUUGUAAUCGUCUCAGAAUCACUUUCUGAGUUGGCUAAGCUUAACUACAGGUCGCUAUUUUUUAAAUAAUUCUGUAAAAACAGACCCUAUUUUUUUAAAUCGGUCCAUCUUUCCUUAUAGUCCGAUAGUAAUCACAUUUUACAUAAUUUACUUUAAACAUCUAUAAAGUUCGAAUCGGCAAACAUUAGGAAACAUUACUAGGUUCCACUUUAGAAAAAUCACCUUUUUUAAAAUAUUCCGAUAAAGGUAGACAUAAAAAGAUUUUAUGUAGACCACAAUACCUUUACCAAACUUUAUGAGGAACGUUCCAUAUUAUGACCUAAGCCCCACAUAAAACCUCCUUCAAAAAUCUAUAUAUAUAUGACUGAUUGACUAAAGCCCCGAUAAAGGUCGUUUUCGAAUACCAAUAGGUUUAUAAUAAAUGAGAAAAUCCUUACACUAAAUUCCCGGAAAAUCGGUCCAGAGAGAUAUACAAAAAUUUGACCAUUGAUAUAGUAUACACUUUUUUAAAACUAUAGGAUAUCUUUAGCUAUAUAAAAACUUUUAAAAUCUUUCAGGAAACCUAUGAACUGCGAGCCUAUGUUUUGGAGCGAAGAAAGAAUCAAGCAAAUUUCCUAUACCUUGUUUUGAAAUAAAGGAUUACUUGAGAAAAAGAGAAGUUCUGCUUUAAACGAUUCAGGAACCGUUCAAUAUUUAUAGAUGUAUAUCUAAAGUUAAUCUUUCGUUCUGGCAACAUAUACUCUCCGAGCAUAUGUUUUGGGUGAAGAAGAGAUAAGCCAAUUUUGGGUAAUUUGUUUUGAAAUAAAGGAUUACUUCAGAAAGAGAGAGAUCGAACCAAUAGCCAAACGGGAAUGGUUUGGACUAAAUAGCCGAUUAGUGCGAACUUUCCAACUAAUAUUUUGUAAAUAGUUUUUGGUCUGGUCUUUCCAACAUGAAAAGGAACGUUUUCAUUACGAAACGGUCUUAUGUUUGGGCAUAUAUUCCAGAAAUUCUUCAGACAAUGCCUACUUCUAAAGAAUCGGUUGUAUUCGGAGUAUUAUCCGCUGCCAAAGUAAAUUCCUUGUCCAUGAAAGUUAGAUAAACCACAGGUCCAUAUUUAAUGCCUUAACAGGUCCAUAUUUAAUGCCUUAACAGUGACGAAAUAGUCGAAUGGAUACCGAAAAAAUUCUUAUCCAGAAAUCAUUUCCUUCUUAUUGUUUUUCUUAUAUAGUUUUCUUGUGCAAGACACUCCGUCCUUCAGAAUUCUUAAUAGAGGAACUAACGUUCUUAACAUUCGUUAGCAAAAAAGAUGAGACUAAGUAGUCCAUUUGUAUCUUUGUAUGGGGUCAUAGUUAACAAUCAAAUGCCAGAAGAAUGGGCUUUUCUAUCUCAUGAUCUUGAAUUGCUUGAAACAUUUGGCAACAUCAAACACCUAUCAACAGAUAUUCCAGUAAUUUUGCUUUCAGAUUGAAUAUACAUUAUUUGUCAAUUGUAACUCAAGUGAAAGUCCUCAGAUAUUCGAUUAGCUGAUCUCUUUUGGAUAGUCCCCCAGAUGGGAAUAGAUUUUUAUCUAAUUCUUUUUCUCAAGCUUUCUAUGGAUUUUUUUGGCAUUAUAAAUUUUAAAAAAAAUUCCUUAGGGUCAGAUGUCAAAUUUUGGAAUUAUAUAUGCAUCCUCAGAAAUUCUUUCCCUGAAAAGUUAUAAAAACUAAACUAGUUGUUUAAUGUAAUAGGGGUCAAUAUAAACCCAUUUUUUCGAAACUACUGCCGAUUUAAAAAAAAAUUAAUAAUUUUUUUUUUGGAUUCAUAAAAGGUUCUAGCAAAUAGUUUAUAAAAAAAUCGUUCAAACAUUUUGGGUGUUUAAAUUCUAUAAAGAAGAUCUGUAGACCUAAUAUAUUUCAUUCAUUCAUGACUUUUUAUAUGCUUUGUUUUUUUAUUUUUUGUAAUAUGAACUACGAUAGUUCAACUUAAAAAAUAAUAAAAAUAAUUACAACUGCAAUAAAAU